GGUCGCUAAUACCGGAUGUGCCGAGAGGUAAAAGCUUAACUGCCUGUAGAUGAGCUCGCGUCCGAUUAGCUAGUUGGUGAGGUAAGAGCUUACCAAGGCGAUGAUCGGUAGCUGGUCUGAGAGGAUGAUCAGCCACACUGGGACUGAGACACGGCCCAGACUCCUACGGGAGGCAGCAGUGGGGAAUUUUCCGCAAUGGGCGCAAGCCUGACGGAGCAAUACCGCGUGAGGGAGGAAGGCUUUUGGGUCGUAAACCUCUUUUAUUGGGGAAGAAGCACUGACGGUACCCAAUGAAUCAGCAUCGGCUAACUCCGUGCCAGCAGCCGCGGUAAUACGGAGGAUGCAAGCGUUAUCCGGAAUUAUUGGGCGUAAAGCGUCCGCAGGUGGUUAAUCAAGUCUGCUGUUAAAGCGUGCGGCUUAACCGCAUAUCGGCAGUGGAAACUGGUUGACUAGAGUUCGGUAGGGGUCACGGGAAUUCCCAGUGUAGCGGUGAAAUGCGUAGAUAUUGGGAAGAACACCAGCGGCGAAAGCGCGUGACUGGGCCUGACCUGACACUGAGGGACGAAAGCUAGGGGAGCGAAUGGGAUUAGAUACCC
rnacentral:rRNA from 1 species